rnacentral:rRNA from 1 species
UACGUAGGGUGCGAGCGUUGUCCGGAAUUAUUGGGCGUAAAGAGCUUGUAGGCGGUUUGUCGCGUCUGCCGUGAAAGCCCAGGGCUUAACCCUGGGUCUGCGGUGGGUACGGGCAGACUAGAGUGUGGUAGGGGAGACUGGAAUUCCUGGUGUAGCGGUGAAAUGCGCAGAUAUCUGGAGGAACACCGGUGGCGAAGGCGGCGACCUGGUCCUAUACUGACACUCAUACACGAAAGCGUGGGGAUCAAACAGG